AAAGCAUGGUUGAAACAAGAUUUAUCAUGAGAAGUCAGCCGAGGUCAUAGUACUAGAGUAGCUAUAGAUACUCUAGGAAGGAC
rfam:Caldisalinibacter kiritimatiensis strain L21-TH-D2 NODE_74, whole genome shotgun sequence.